ensembl:rRNA 5S_rRNA 5S ribosomal RNA
AACAGCAGCAGACCACCCUGAACACUCCCCAUUUCCUCUGAUCUCGGAAGCUAAGCAGGGUCAGAGCCGGUUGGUACUUGAAUGGGAGACUGCCUGGGGUUACUGGGUGCUACAGGCU